GAUGAACGCUGGCGGCGUGCCUAAUACAUGCAAGUCGAGCGAACAGACGAGGAGCUUGCUCCUCUGACGUUAGCGGCGGACGGGUGAGGAACACGUGGAUAACCUACCUAUAAGACUGGGAUAACUUCGGGAAACCGGAGCUAAUACCGGAUAAUAUAUUGAACCGCAUUGUUCAAUAGGGAAAGACGGUUUUGCUGUCACUUAUAGAUGGAUCCGCGCCGCAUUAGCUAGUUGGUAAGGUAACGGCUUACCAAGGCAACGAUGCGUAGCCGACCUGAGAGGGUGAUCGGCCACACUGGGACUGAGACACGGCCCAGACUCCUACGGGAGGCAGCAGUAGGGAAUCUUCGGCAAUGGACGAAAGUCUGACCGAGCAACGCCGCGUGAGUGAAGAAGGUGUUCGGAUCGUAAAACUCUGUUGUUAGAGAAGAACAAGUACGUAAGUAACUAAACGUGCCCUGACGGUAUCUAACCAGAAAGCCACGGCUAACUACGUG
rnacentral:rRNA from 1 species